rnacentral:rRNA from 1 species
CCUACGGGUGGCAGCAGUGGGGAAUAUUGGACAAUGGGGGCAACCCUGAUCCAGCCAUGCCGCGUGUGUGAAGAAGGCCCUCGGGUUGUAAAGCACUUUCAGUGAGGAAGAACGCCUGGUGGUUAAUACCCAUCAGGAAAGACAUCACUCACAGAAGAAGCACCGGCUAACUCCGUGCCAGCAGCCGCGGUAAUACGGAGGGUGCGAGCGUUAAUCGGAAUUACUGGGCGUAAAGCGCGCGUAGGUGGCUUGAUAAGCCGGUUGUGAAAGCCCCGGGCUCAACCUGGGAACGGCAUCCGGAACUGUCAAGCUAGAGGGCAGGAGAGGAAGGUAGAAUUCCCGGUGUAGCGGUGAAAUGCGUAGAGAUCGGGAGGAAUACCAGUGGCGAAGGCGGCCUUCUGGACUGACACUGACACUGAGGUGCGAAAGCGUGGGUAGCAAACAGGAUUAGAUACCCUAGUAGUC